GAACUUUUCUAUGAUAUUCUAAUUUUUGAGAUGUAUAUUUUAAUUCCCUCACACAAGUGCUCCUCGCUUUUUUUGGACUUGAAUCAACAGUUCGGACCAGUGUCGCCACCUUGUGGACCAACUAAUUAGUGCACAAAAAACAAGCUGAUCAUACAGCGUAAACACGGUAGAUUCUUUCUUUCUUUUCUUUCUUUCUUUCUUUCUUUCUUUCUUUUCUUUUUUAAAUUUUAUUGAAAAAAAGGAAAAUAUAAAUAUAUGCAUGAAUAAAGAACACAUACAAAUAUAAACAUAGUACAUAUAAUAUCCACCUCAUUUUUAAAGUAAUUAAAAGUCAGUUAGUGAAUUGAAUGUGCGAGACUUCUUGUGUUAUUGACUUUCAGUAAUUUUUGCUGUACAAAAACAGUCAGUUAAGCUGCUUGAUAUCGCAUUUCUUUUUCUUUUUUUUCUUCUUUUUUUAUGUCAUAAUCACAAACACAAUGGUGUGGAGGUCAAAUAGCUUUAUCGUUUACUCCACUUUAAAAAAUCUCCAUGGGCCUAGCAGCUAAUAAAUUGAAAGUCUUGCACAAUUCCAAGAAAUUAAAAUAAGAUGGAUAAAGGGGAUAGAUUUUCAAUGAAUGACUUCCAUUUGGUUCUGUUUCUCACACAGAGCACCACACAGCUUCAUAGGAUUAGUGCACUAGGUAUGCGUUCAUAUGCUGUUAUGAUGUUUUUGGGACAGUUGUGGUAAUUCUGAACUGUUGUUGUGUGUAAAACAUUCUUAUUUGAACAAAUAACCUAACUCAGGUUUGUGUGGUUGAGUGUUUUCUCAGUGUUGGAGUUGUCCUGAAGCCGCCGCUGUGAUGGUCAUGUGAUGUGAUGGGGGUCGUAACCAGGUGUCUGACAGUCUGACAGAUUGUUGACACUGACUCCGAAAAAUCUCAAACUAUUUUUAUCUGCCCCUGUGUUUGGCUCCAAGCGACUUCAGAUUGACCGAUUGCAAGAAACAUCCGGAGCUCAAACGCCUGCUGAGCAGAAGGUGGCUAAAUAUACCUCCCACGGUGAGUGGCAGUGAAAGUGCAGUGCAGUGGGUGUCCAGCAGGGGUCAGAACAGCACCAUCAAACCAAUGCUCUGCUUCAGUUCUGAGAUCUUCAACAUGAUUCAUGUUCAUAUUUCAGAUGUUCUGGAAUCAUCCAUCUAUCAGUAGAUCUACUCGUGUCAAAUCACCUACUUUAUUCUAGCAGAAAUCAGCUGUUCUGGAAAUCUGCAUUCACGUAUCAUCUGGUGUUUGUAUGUCAACUUGUACUGGAUCAUGUUAGAGGAGAGCGGGGCUAGUCGUCACAUAUUACACUCAAGUGCUGUUUAUUUUUCAGAGGUCACUUUCUGUACAGACACAAAACUUUAAACCUCUACAAUGC
ensembl:lncRNA